rnacentral:tRNA from 1 species
GGCCCCGUAGCUCAGUCGGCAGAGCGCCCACCACAUACACCUAGGGUGGCAGGUUCGAACCUGGCCUGGGCCA